UGGUUCGAUACGUCGGAUGUGAAAAUCAGGGGCUCAACCCCUGACCUGCAUCCGAUACGGUCGAGCUAGAGUUUGGUAGGGGAGACUGGAAUUCCUGGUGUAGCGGUGGAAUGCGCAGAUAUCAGGAGGAACACCGAUGGCGAAGGCAGGUCUCUGGGCCAAUACUGACACUGAGGAGCGAAAGCGUGGGGAGCGAACAGGAUUAGAUACCCUGGUAGUCCACGCCGUAAGCGGUGGGCGCUAGUUGUGCGAACCUUCCACGGUUUGUGCGACGCAGCUAACGCAUUAAGCGCCCCGCCUGGGGAGUACGAUCGCAAGAUUAAAACUCAAAGGAAUUGACGGGGCCCCGCACAAGCAGCGGAGCAUGCGGCUUAAUUCGACGCAACGCGAAGAACCUUACCAAGGCUUGACAUAUACAGGAAUAUGGCAGAGAUGUCAUAGCCGCAAGGUCUGUAUACAGGUGGUGCAUGGUUGUCGUCAGCUCGUGUCGUGAGAUGUUGGGUUAAGUCCCGCAACGAGCGCAACCCUCGUUCUGUGUUGCCAGCAUUAAGUUGGGGACUCACAGGAGACUGCCGGGGUUAACUCGGAGGAAGGUGGGGAUGACGUCAAAUCAUCAUGCCCCUUAUGUCUUGGGCUGCACGCAUGCUACAAUGGCUGGUACAAACGGCUGCGAUACCGCAAGGUGGAGCGAAUCCGAUAAAGCCAGUCUCAGUUCGGAUUGGGGUCUGCAACUCGACCCCAUGAAGUCGGAGUUGCUAGUAAUCGUAGAUCAGCAACGCUACGGUGAAUACGUUCCCGGGGCUUGUACACACCGCCCGUCACAUCACGAAAGUCGGUAACACCCAAAGUCAGUGGCCCAACCGUAAGGAGGGAGCUGCCAAAGGUGGGAUCGGUGAUUGGGAUGAAGUCGUAACAAGG
rnacentral:rRNA from 1 species